UAGCUAUUUUGAAGCCCUUGUCUUGUGCU
rnacentral:piRNA from 1 species